rnacentral:lncRNA from 1 species
CAUCUCGAUGGUCCUCCUGUCAGAACAGUGCAAAUCAGACGCCCUCUUUUCAACCUCAUCCAAAAAGUCUAGAGGGUCUCCAGCUGUCCCAUCAAACUCCACAGGUCUUAACUUGGUAUACUCAGACAUAGGGACAUCGUCCGGAUUCCUAAUACCGGACCCACUAGCACGGCUUCCUGCACCCUGAGCAGCCUGCUGCUGCUGAAAGGCUAGCAACUGCUCUA